UCGUAACAAGGUCUCCGUUGGUGAACCAGCGGAGGGAUCAUUACCGAGUUUACAACUCCCAAACCCCUGUGAACAUACCUAUACGUUGCCUCGGCGGAUCAGCCCGCGCCCCGUAAAAAGGGACGGCCCGCCCGAGGACCCCUAAACUCUGUUUUUAGUGGAACUUCUGAGUAAAACAAACAAAUAAAUCAAAACUUUCAACAACGGAUCUCUUGGUUCUGGCAUCGAUGAAGAACGCAGCAAAAUGCGAUAAGUAAUGUGAAUUGCAGAAUUCAGUGAAUCAUCGAAUCUUUGAACGCACAUUGCGCCCGCCAGUAUUCUGGCGGGCAUGCCUGUUCGAGCGUCAUUUCAACCCUCAAGCUCAGCUUGGUGUUGGGACUCGCGGUAACCCGCGUUCCCCAAAUCGAUUGGCGGUCACGUCGAGCUUCCAUAGCGUAGUAAUCAUACACCUCGUUACUGGUAAUCGUCGCGGCCACGCCGUAAAACCCCAACUUCUGAAUGUUGACCUCGGAUCAGGUAGGAAUACCCGCUGAACCUAAGCAUAUCA
rnacentral:misc_RNA from 1 species